GACGAACGCUGGCGGCGUGCUUAACACAUGCAAGUCGAACGGAAAGGCCCUGCUUUUGUGGGGUGCUCGAGUGGCGAACGGGUGCGUAACACGUGAGUAACCUGACCUUGACUUUGGGAUAACUUCAGGAAACUGGGGCUACUACCGGAUAGGAGCUCCUGCUGCAUGGUGGGGGUUGGAACGUUUCGGCGGUUGGGGAUGGACUCGCGGCUUAUCAGCUUGUUGGUUGGGUAGUGGCUUACCCAGGCAUUGACGGGUAGCCGGCCUGGGAGGGGGACCGGCCACAUUGGGCCUGAGAUACGGCCCAGACGCCUACGGUAGGCAGCAGUGGGGAAUAUUGCACAAUGGGCGGAAGCCUGAUGCAGCAACGCCGCGUGCGGGAUGACGGCCUUCGGGUUGUAAACCGCAUUCGCCUGUGACGAAGCGUGAGUGACGGUAAUGGGUAAAGAAGCACCGGCUAACUACGUG
rnacentral:rRNA from 1 species